rnacentral:rRNA from 1 species
ACCCUUUAAUGUUUGAUGUUCUAACGUGGACCCGUGAUCCGGGUUGCGGACAGUGUCUGGUGGGUAGUUUGACUGGGGCGGUCUCCUCCUAAAGAGUAACGGAGGAGCACGAAGGUUGGCUAAUCCUGGUCGGACAUCAGGAGGUUAGUGCAAUGGCAUAAGCCAGCUUGACUGCGAGCGUGACGGCGCGAGCAGGUGCGAAAGCAGGUCAUAGUGAUCCGGUGGUUCUGAAUGGAAGGGCCAUCGCUCAACGGAUAAAAGGUACUCCGGGGAUAACAGGCUGAUACCGCCCAAGAGUUCAUAUCGACGGCGGUGUUUGGCACCUCGAUGUCGGCUCAUCACAUCCUGGGGCUGAAGUAGGUCCCAAGGGUAUGGCUGUUCGCCAUUUAAAGUGGUACGCGAGCUGGGUUUAGAACGUCGUGAGACAGUUCGGUCCCUAUCUGCCGUGGGCGCUGGAGAACUGAGGGGGGCUGCUCCUAGUACGAGAGGACCGGAGUGGACGCAUCACUGGUGUUCGGGUUGUCAUGCCAAUGGCACUGCCCGGUAGCUAAAUGCGGAAGAGAUAAGUGCUGAAAGCAUCUAAGCACGAAACUUGCCCCGAGAUGAGUUCUCCCUGAGACUUAGAGUCUCCUGAAGGAACGUUGAAGACGACGACGU